AUGAACGCUGGCGGCGUGCCUAAUACCUGCAAGUCGAGCGAACAGACGAGGAGCUUGCUCCUCUGACGUUCGCGGCGGACGGGUGAGUAACACGUGGAUAACCUACCUAUAAGACUGGGAUAACUUCGGGAAACCGGAGCUAAUACCGGAUAAUAUAUUGAACCGCAUGGUUCAAUAGUGAAAGACGGUUUUGCUGUCACUUAUAGAUGGAUCCGCGCCGCAUUAGCUAGUUGGUAAGGUAACGGCUUACCAAGGCAACGAUGCGUAGCCGACCUGAGAGGGUGAUCGGCCACACUGGAACUGAGACACGGUCCAGACUCCUACGGGAGGCAGCAGUAGGGAAUCUUCCGCAAUGGGCGAAAGCUUGACGGAGCAACGCCGCGUGAGUGAUGAAGGUCUUCGGAUCGUAAAACUCUGUUAUUAGGGAAGAACAAAUGUGUAAGUAACUAUGCACGUCUUGACGGUACCUAAUCAGAAAGCCACGGCUAACUACGUG
rnacentral:rRNA from 1 species